UACGUAGGGUGCGAGCGUUGUCCGGAAUUAUUGGGCGUAAAGAGCUUGUAGGCGGUUUGUCGCGUCUGCCGUGAAAAUUCGAGGCUCAACCUCGAACUUGCGGUGGGUACGGGCGGACUAGAAUUCGGUAGGGGAGACUGGAAUUCCUGGUGUAGCGGUGAAAUGCGCAGAUAUCAGGAGGAACACCGGUGGCGAAGGCGGGUCGUCUGGGCCGAUAUUGACGCUGAGGAGCGAAAGCGUGGGGAGCGAACAGG
rnacentral:rRNA from 1 species